GGAUUGGCUCUAAGGGUUGGGUACUGGUUUCCCUGUUCAGAUGUUCGAGCUGAGCAGAAGCUACUUGACGCCCCUGGUGGAUAGUGGAUUCGCCAUGGCGAGAAUUGCCGGACAAGGAACGCCCUCCGUGGCUUUCCCCGUGCAAUGAACAAUCAACCCAGAACU
rnacentral:rRNA from 1 species